rnacentral:rRNA from 1 species
GGGUGCGAUCCUACCAGCCGUAAUGCAUCGGGUGUCUGCAGAACUGCGCAGUUGCGCGCGCAUGGGCUAGAGUAGCACUGGGAUGGGUGACCUCCCGUGAAGUCCUAGUGUUGCACCAU